UACGUAGGGUCCAAGCGUUAUCCGGAAUCACUGGGCGUAAAGCGUGCGUAGGUGGCGUGUUAAGUGUGAUGUUAAAUCGUGUGGCUCAACCAUAUCGAUGUGUCGCAUACUGGCAUGCUAGAGGACAGCAGAGGCAAGUGGAAUUUGUAGUGUAGCAGUGAAAUGCGUAGAUAUUACAAGGAACACCAAUGCGAAGGCAGCUUGCUGGGCUACUCCUGACACUGAGGUACGAAAAGCGUGGGGGAGCGAACAGG
rnacentral:rRNA from 1 species